rnacentral:tRNA from 1 species
UGAAACAUAGCUCAGUGGUAGAGCAAUGAUAUGAAUAUCAUGUGACACAGGUUCGAUUCCUGUUGUUUCUA